rnacentral:rRNA from 1 species
UACGUAGGGUGCUAGCGUUGUUCGGAAUCAUUGGGCGUAAAGCGCGUGUAGGCUGUUAGUUAAGUCGGAUGUGAAAUCCCUGGGCUCAACCGAGGAAGUGCAUUCGAAACUAAUUAGCUAGAGAGUGGUAGAGGAAGGUGGAAUUCCGUGUGUAGAGGUGAAAUUCGUAGAUAUACGGAGGAAUACCGGUGGCGAAGGCGGCCUUCUGGGACCAUUUCUGACGCUGAGACGCGAAAGCGUGGGGAGCAAACAGG